GUAGAUGUAGCCGUGGGGUAAGGUGUGAAAAAAGGUGUGAUUGUUUUUAGGUUUGUGCAAUUACAGUGUUAGCGGUUGCUGUGCAUCAUGUGUCUAAAUACGUAGAAAGUGUCACACGGCCUGUACGCGAUGCCUACUUCCUGUUUAUCCCCGGCAUCGGCAUGGCGCAGGCCAUGGAGGAACCGGACAAGGCUCCUAUACAGUGUCAGGACAACCCGUAUGGGUUCAAUGCCCAGGUGGACUAUGGGGACUGGGGGUUGUAUCCACUAAGAAGGUGUACUCCCUUCUGGACCAGCCAAAGAAGACAACCUGAGGAAGAAAACUUACCCCGAGAGUCACCUCCCACCUCCACGCGUAAUGAAGGAACUGAGAAUAACCUGAUGGGAGAUUGCACUGUGGACGGUAUCAUCAUCGAUCCCAGUGCCCAGAAGAUCAGCCCUGACCAUCUCAUCUCUCUGUCUGGAUGAUCUGUACUGUGAAAAAACUGCACUGUUCUGUAAAUUACCUGUAAUUAUUUGUGUGUUAUGUACAGUUAAUUUAAUGUAAUUAUUUGUACAUAGACAAAUAAUCAUAUGCAAUUUAAAAAAUAUUGAUUUCUACCUGUUUUACUGUGUUUUACUGGAAUUAUAUGUUUUGUAGUUCUAUAUAAUUGCAGACUGUAGUUCUGUAUCUGUUUCUCUGUAUACUUUAUUAUUAUCCUUCAUUCAUACUGUUCUUUAAUACUCAGGACCCCACAGGAGAGAAAACCACCACAGAGUAAGUAUAGUAUUAUUUGGGUGGCAGGUUGUUAUUUUUAGCACUGAAUGCAGUGAUUAGCACUGAUUAGCUUUGUGGUGGUGUAUGAGGUGUUAGUUAGUGUGUGUUGUGCUGACAGUAGGAGUGGAUCAGAUGCAGCAGUGCUGCUGGAGUUUCUAAACACCAUAGGGUCACUGCUGGACUGAGAGAAUAUAGUCCAACAACAUGUAGUCCUGUGAGCACUGAUGACGGUCUAGAGAAUAACCAUGAAAACUCUGCAGCAACAGAUUCAGAGCUUCUAAAUGUCUCUAGGUAGGAGUGUGUAAUAGAGUGGACUGAACACAGUGUUUAAAAACUCCACUGAUCCACUAAUGCCAGCCAGCCCCGUUGCAACAAGGCAAGCAAACUAAUCUUUUACCUCAGGCCUCAAGCCAGUCUGAAUUUUAUGAAUUGUAAAAAAAAAAAAAUGAAUUGUAUUGAAGUUUACAUGAACUCUAAAUGCUUUCAUUACUUGUGUAAAAGCUGUUUGACCAGUGGUAGGAUGGUCCCCCCUUAUAUAUGUUUUUUGGUCCUCCCAAGGUUUCUUCUUCCUCCAGCUCUGAGGGAGUUUCUCCUUGCCUCUGCACUAACCUGGGGUUCUGUAUUAUAUGUUCAGUGUUUUGUCUGAUUCUUUGUUCUGUAAAGUUGCUUUUUUGACAAUAUCAGUAGUGAAAAAUGGUAUAAAAAUACAUUUUAUGUGAUCCUUUAAAUUCUGUGAUGGUCAAUAGCCUACAGGAAAUUACAGUGACGCUGUAUCAGAAUCCCUCUUAUGGGGGUGCUCACACUAAUUACUGACCAUAGCUAGCUAGCCAGCCAGGUUCGUCAUUUCUGCAGCCGGCAAAAUACGAACCUUCAGUAAUCAUGAAGUAAAAUUAUCCAUCAAGAUGCCACGAAAGAAAGACGAGAAGGUAGGAGGAAGAAAAUAAGAAACAAGACAGCUGUAAGUGACGAUAUACCAAAUGCCCUGAGAUGGUCCUGGUACCAGCUAUUACAUACAUACUGAUACAUACUAACACCUCAUGUAGGCUGUAGAUACAACUGCAAUGCCCCACAAAGAAUAAUAGCUAGGGGUUUUCUCUCCUGUAGGUCCUGAAUAUUAAAGAACAGGGUGAAAGGAAGAUAAUAAUAAAGUAUACAGAGGAACAGAUGCA
ensembl:lncRNA